rnacentral:rRNA from 1 species
AUACGUAGGGGGCGAGCGUUGUCCGGAAUGAUUGGGCGUAAAGGGCGCGUAGGCGGCCCGGUAAGUCUGGAGUGAAAGUCCUGUUUUUAAGAUGGGACUUGCUUUGGAUACUGUCGGGCUUGAGUGCAGGAGAGGUAAGUGGAAUUCCCAGUGUAGCGGUGAAAUGCGUAGAGAUUGGGAGGAACACCAGUGGCGAAGGCGACUUACUGGACUGUAACUGACGCUGAGGCGCGAAAGUGUGGGGAGCAAACAGGAAUAGAUACUCUGGUAGUCCACACUGUAAACGAGGAAUGCUAGGUGUAGGGGGUUUCGACCCCUUCUGUGCCGCAGUCAACACAAUAAGCAUUCCGCCUGGGGAGUACGGCCGCAAGGUGGAAACUCAAAGGAAUUGACGGGG